rnacentral:misc_RNA from 1 species
UCGAGUCGCGUGUGACACACGGAGGCGUCGCGGCGCACCGGUGUGUACGCCAGAGCGCACCAGUGUAGGCCCCGGAGAGUCCGUGCAUGAGUGUGUGCGCGCGCGCGCCCGUAGCGAGUACUCCGCGCGCAUUCACGGAAUUCACGCUCGGGCUCGAGACUCUCAACAAAUGUUUAAAUGGACGCAUCGUCCAUUAUCACCCAAGUGUCGCGGGAUGACGAGCUAGGACAGUUCAACAGCGAGAAAGCGCAGCUGCCCCGAGAGAAUGAAGCGUCCAACGGACCCGUCGGCGGGAAGAAGCCGCGAGGCCGGGGCCUCCUGCGCUCCCUCCUCUGCUGUCUGGGCAGAGGUCGGGGAAGCAGCUCCAAAAGCUCCAAGGCUAGCUCCCUCCAGGGCGACGGAAGGGGCUCUCCGCCUCCUGGUACGGGAUCCCCUCGGUUCCUCCUUCCCCCUGUUCGACACCAGGAUAUGCAUAAGAAGUGCAUGGUGAUCGAUUUGGAUGAGACUCUAGUGCACAGUUCGUUCAAGCCGAUCAAUAAUGCGGACUUCGUCGUCCCUGUGGAAAUCGAUGGAACGGUACACCAAGUGUACGUUUUAAAGAGGCCUUACGUCGACGAGUUCUUGCAGAGGAUGGGAGAACUCUAUGAGUGUGUACUGUUCACCGCGAGCCUGGCGAAGUAUGCCGACCCUGUAGCGGACCUACUCGACAGGUGGGGCGUCUUCAGAGCGAGAUUAUUCAGAGAAUCCUGUGUGUUUCAUCGUGGAAUUUACGUCAAGGAUCUGAAUAAACUAGGCAGAGAUCUCCAGCAGAUUAUUAUCGUCGACAAUAGUCCAGCCAGCUACAUCUUUCACCCAGAUAAUGCGGUACCCGUUGCUUCUUGGUUCGACGACAUGACGGAUUCGGAAUUACUGGACUUAAUUCCGUUUUUCGAGAAGCUCAGUAACGUGGAGAACAUUUACACGGUACUGUGCAACAGCAAUCAUCCAUACAACCAGACACCUUCGGUGGUACAGUAUAGCCCCAGUCCCGGAUCAGGACCACUUGGAGCAUCCUAGCCACGCCGGAACCCUGGCUCCCUGGCCAGUCUUAUCGCUCCUCGAUGCACCUUAAGAAGGAUCCUCAUCGGGCUUCCUGGCGUCGCUCGUCUGUUGCGCCAUGAACGAUCGGCCACUUCCAGCUAAAUCGUACGAUUUUGCCUGGUGUCGACGACGCAUGCACUCGUGGUGCGGCGCAAAGAUACGAAUAGUGACCGGUGACUGGGAAGGUGUAACUCUCUGUCCAGACGCAGACAUGGGACUCGCGUGACUCGGUGUCGGUCACGUUAAUCGCCAGACAGUGAACAGUGACCAUUCAAGAGAGUUCGCAAAGGAGAGAAGAAUCGGCGAAGAUUUUCACUUAAACCCUACGCACGGUGCAGCACGGACCGCUUUUUCCUUCGCGGGUCAAACCGGGAAAGGAAGCGAGUACUCAGUUAAGGAGACGAAACGGAACGUCGCUGAGAAAAAGAGAAACGAUCGAGUUGGUCGAUUUACAACAAUCCCGUUCAAUCCGGACGCGCGAAAGUCAACGAUUCUUUUUCCGCGCGAUCGCUGUGUUGCAGAGCCGGUGACAAAGGAAACAAAAUCAAGUUAACGAAAUCCACAUGAAUCAUAUGGGCUCGGGAAGGCAUAUAGUUCUUUUUUUCUCUCUUUUUAUGUUUUUCUUUCGCAACAGACUCGGCCGAGUGACACCCUAGACACGAAUUAAUAAGCCACGCUCUUUACGACGCGUCCUUUUCGGUCAGACGGAGGCGCGUUGUCUUUCACGGGGGAAAUGACUUUUACCACUCUCGACGAGGUAUAUAUAAAUAUAUAAAUAUAUAAAAAGGAACACGAAGAAACGCGGCGUGAGUUAACCGUUUGAGUCCCAAGCAGCGCGAUCGCGCUGUUCAGAUUUUAUGUCGAGAAAACCCAACACAUUUCGAGCGUUGUGAACAACUAGCGGUGCGUCACCGAUUGUCGAAAUCGCGCGCUCAGAUUUACUCACCCAAGUACAUCUCCUUCUUUUAAUGUAAAUAAUACAUCUUACAAUUCAAGAAACGCUAUCGCGCCGAUUAGGAUUCAUCGACAUAAAAUAAACGAAGCGCUAUCGCGCUGCUUGGGUCUUCUCGUACUCAUUUACAGAAAGCGUGAUUGCGCUGUUCGGGAUUCUUUGACAGGGUUUUUUCAAUACCCCCUGGGACUCAAACGGUUAAUGCAAGGUGCGUCCACGAGAUUCGAACGUGGACGCGUGCAUAUAGGGUAUAUAUUGUACGUAAACGCGCGAUCAACAAUGCCUUGAUUUGUAAAUAGAAUGAAAUCUUCCAUCGUUUGUCCUCCGACCGAGGCGGCGCGCCGCCAUGUUGUUUGCAGAGCCUCUCCCGUUUUUAGUACAUUUUUAUAAAAUCUUGACGACCUCUUCGUUCUCCCUUUUUCUUUUUUUCUUUUUUUUUUUAACUGCGCAUCCAUUUUCUACCGAUCAGGGAAGGCUUCGAGAUAUCGGUGCGGCUGCAGAAUACGAAAAUGUAAUAUUCCCCAACCCUCUUCGAUAUGUCCAGUUUGCUCUGUGAUUCUGUGUUUAAUAAACGAAGAAUAUGUAUAAAUAUAUAUAUUUGAUAAUCUCGAA